rnacentral:lncRNA from 1 species
GAAAAGGAUAAUGUAAAACAGUGUUUCUACUGUCUUCAAUACAUGUUUUCUUAUUUCUUUGUUACACUCAGAGGCUGUAAUUUGUCACCUGGAUUUUUUGGCUCUUAUGAAGAUAUUUUUGUGCAUGGAUAAGUUGUUCAAAUCAAUCUUUCUGCAAAGGACCAGCACUGGAAAAUCCUAUUCUACAAUCUUGCUGACACCAUCCUUCAAAGUCUUCAGUUAUUUAGAAUCUUUCCAUUCCUCCUGGAAGAAAAUGGAUAAACUUUCCCUUUAACCUCUGAAGUUUCACUGAAAAGUUAACUUACAAAGAAAAAUACAGAAAGACACAAGAAGCACACCAGAUUGGCUACAGCUUAAGACCAACCUCACAAAUCCAACCUCACAAAUUAAAACUUUACAGAGAAUAUAAACAAUGAUGCUUAUUAUCCAUUUUACCAGUUUGAACAGGGAAAGAGAAGCCAAAACUCAACUGGUAAACUUUUACCCUUUUGCCGGCAUGUCAGGCAUCUGGGUUCCCUUCCCCCAGCUCAACUCUAAGCCAAGCAUUUUAAGGUUUGGGAAAAUUAACUUUUCAGAGUUUUGAGGAAUAUUACAAAAAAAGAGAUAGGAGCAAUUUUAAACUGUAAAAGAAGAAAAAACACCACAGAAAAGUCUGGAGGUUCCAAUUAGGAUCAUCAAGAGGUACUGCUCCUCUUCUUAUUGGAAUUAGUGUUUCCCCUAUUUCUUCACCUUCCCUAUUUUCCCUUUUCCAUUGUGGCCUAGUAUAGGAGACCUAUUUCUCAUCUCUGAAAUUCUCUGAUGUUUUCAGAGCUGACUGCUUCUCAGCUGUAGUUAGGAUUUGGCUUAGGAGCAGCAUAACAUUCCUCCAUGAGAGGUUAAAUACCUGAGUUAAAUUUUGGAAGGCUUCUAUAUACCUAUCAGGGUCUCAGAAAAUCAGCCAAGUCUCCCUCUACUUGCCUAAGGUCCUGCAAUGUAAGGGAACAUGAAUCCUAGUGGCAUUACCUCCACUGGGCAUUUCUUGUAGGAGUAAAAGUGAAGGUGAGGAGUAGGAAAUUUUGGAUAUGGUGGAGGUGGAAGAACUUGUGGUGUGGUUGGAGAUGGCCCCAGAUAAGGGGGACUAGAAGGGCUAUGACAUCCAAUAGCUGCCUCAGAUGGUUCCCCCAGAAGUUGCUUUUCUAGUCUUGGAGAAUCAUUCUGUUUGGGCCUGCCUUAUAUGAUUGCUAUGAGGGUUGAUUUUGUAACACCUGCAAAGGUCUAGUAAGAAGGCCAUGGCCCUGUGCAAAAGAAAAUGAGCAACUUUUUCUUCAAAGUCUCAGGGUCAGUGGAGUCUCUGUGCUUCAGAAUGCACUCCAGAGGAGUACAGGUGAAAUAUGAUAAACAAAAGUGAGAAAAAGUCAUCCCUUUAGUCUCCUUCCUUUUGGUGUGACCCAGGGUGGAGAGGAAGACAGUGGAGGUGUCCCCUCUGCUGUUUUUCCCUCCAUGGUUCCUGGGUCCCAGCACCUUGUUGAAUGUGCUGCCCAUGGUUGAAGGCAUGAUCCCCAGCAAUGGAACCAGAGGAAUUAAGAGAUUGGGGUUAGUCAUGUUCACCCAUGUGGCUCUAGUCCUCUGCCUGUGACUUCCCUUUGACUUCCUAGACUUGUGUGACCUGCCUGUCUCCCCGAAAAGUGGAUCUCAGGGGAGACUAUGUGCCUGUUGCAUUUGGGCAACUGUUGUACUUCCCUCCUUAAUGGAGAAAGUGUGCUGAUCUGAGCUCUAUAUCCUUCUAUUACGGCCUGUGCAAAAGUGUUUACCCUUAGAGAAUGGUUUCAGUUAACUUCCUAAAUUAAAAUCCCCUUAUUAAUUAAGUACCAUUCUAAUUGGAAGCAGAAUAGGUGCCUUAAAAGAAUGUAGGGACUGAAUGGCCAUUUUCCUACUGAUGGGACCAUACUGAGACUAAAUUUUGGCUUUGGAGGAUAUUUUACUCCUAAUUGUUGAAGGCAGAAUUUUCCCAUUUACAGAAGCAGCAUAAAGCCUUAUCUCUAGUAGAGGGGCCCAAAAAGGGAGAACUGGGAAGUUAGGGUGUUUCACUAAAAGACCAACAAUGUGUCUCAUGGAAAGGAUCCCUAUUCCACUAGGUGUCGCUGUUGACCUUGAUAUGCCAUGUGCUCUCCAGACCAAGGUCAGAGAGUGACCUGAAAGUGCCAUGUGCUCUCCAGACCAAGGGCAGAGAGUGAUGCUCACUGUGUGGGGGACCCUCUGUUCCUAGAAAAUAAAAAAGACAUCUUCCCUUGAGCUAUAUCCCUGGUUACUACAAAAUUCCCUGAUUUUCCCAAACAAGAUUACUUCCCUGAACUGUAAAACUUCCCAAACAUUGCACACACAGAGAGGAUAAGAGGUAUGACUCUCACGGACAGAAAAGGAGGAAAUUGCAAUAGAAAAUCCAGAAGACUUUGGAUAACACCAGGGGGUAGCCCCAGCCAGAAAUCCUGUUGCCCCAGGACUUCUUUCAUCCCCACAUGAUGGUUAAGUCCUCUGUGAAAGGAAGCUGGUUCAAACACGGCCAACAUGCCCAGCAACCAGUGGGUGCUGGGGGACUCUCCAUGUUCUCUCCAGUAAGCCUGUCCCCCAAGUCUUGUAAGGCUGACAGCCACUCUAAUAAAUGGCUGAAGGGGGCACAGUAUUUGGUUUGAUUUGGUACUAAAAUGGAGACUGAGAUCCUUAAAAUGAAAGGAUCUAGUUGGAGUCUGCUCCUCUAUUCACUAUUUUGAUAUGUAUUAUACCUUGUUAUCUCGGACGAGCCCCAUUAUGAAGCAGCUACAUUGUCUGGGAUUUGUUGUCAUGCAAGAGGAAAAUUUAGGACAUGGACACACAUGGGAGUUUAGGAGCAGAGGUUUCAUAGACAGAAUAGAAGAGAAAGACAAACAGCUCUCUCUAUAGAGACAGGGGUCUCUGAGAGGAAAGGACUGGUUGGUGGCGAAUGUGCCAGAUUUUAUAGUCAAGUUUGAGAAGGCAGUGUCUGAUUUAGUGUCUGAGGCUUACAGAUUGGUUCAAACAGGUAUGACGUUUAUAUAGUGCAUGGGGAAGGCUGGUAGCCCCACCCUAAUUUUAUGCAAAUGGGCUUUCAAGUUGAUCUGUGCCAUCUUGUCUGCAUCUUACUGGACAUUUUGGCUGGCAGAGAAGGGAAGAUG